AUUUCUUCAUCUCCCCUCCGUGGUUUGGAUGCCCUGAUGAACGUGUUUGGUCCAGCAGCAGCCUGCACGUGAAGCUGAGCAUCACUCUCCUGCCCUGUGCACAGAACGUUGCAGAUGCCAACACCAAUGGGACGCAAAAUUCUGCCCACAGCACUCCCAUGUGUGCUGAUGAGACAAGAACUGACCAGGAAAGGUCUCAACCAGCUGGAAACAAUUCUCUGACCUUUUUUGUGUGAAGUGCAAUGGUGAUAGCACUG
rnacentral:lncRNA from 1 species